rnacentral:rRNA from 1 species
AUUGAACGCUGGCGGCAUGCCUUACACAUGCAAGUCGAACGGUAACAGGUCUUCGGAUGCUGACGAGUGGCGAACGGGUGAGUAAUACAUCGGAACGUGCCCGAUCGUGGGGGAUAACGAAGCGAAAGCUUUGCUAAUACCGCAUAAGAUCUACGGAUGAAAGCAGGGGACCGCAAGGCCUUGCGCGAACGGAGCGGCCGAUGGCAGAUUAGGUAGUUGGUGGGAUAAAAGCUUACCAAGCCGACGAUCUGUAGCUGGUCUGAGAGGACGACCAGCCACACUGGGCUUGAGACCCGGCCCAGCCCCCACGGGGGGGCAGAAGGGGGGAAUUUUGGAAAAUGGGCGAAAGCCUGACCCAGCCAUGCCGCGGGGAGGAUGAAGGCCUUCGGGUUUUAAACUGCUUUUGUAGGGAACAAAAAGACUCUGGUUAAACCCGGGGGUCCAUGACGGUACCGUAAAAAUAAGCCCCGGCUAACUACGG